ACAGACACCAAUGACGAAAAAAGAAAUCCAAGCAGUGACCAGCUUCCAGAAGGAAAAAUUGUUGGUCUUCAAGAGCAAGAUCGUGAAUCUGCCGGAAUCAAAUUAACAGAUUUAGAGAAGGCCAAAUUGGAGGAAAUUCUAAAGCAGGGUGAAACUGAAGGUCGUCCAGAAGGAGAUGCAAAACUGGGUUACUUUGAAUUGGAAUCGGACGGGAAAAUUACAAAACAAAACG